rnacentral:rRNA from 1 species
UACGUAGGGGGCUAGCGUUAUCCGGAAUUACUGGGCGUAAAGGGUGCGUAGGUGGUUUCUUAAGCCAGAGGUGAAAGGCUACGGCUCAACCGUAGUAAGCCUUUGAAACUGGGAAACUUGAGUGCAGGAGAGGAGAGUGGAAUUCCUAGUGUAGCGGUGAAAUGCGUAGAGAUUAGGAAGAACACCAGUGGCGAAGGCGAUUCUCUGGACUGUAACUGACGCUGAGGCUCGAAAGCGUGGGGAGCAAACAGG